CUGCACCUUCUUGGGAACAAACAUAAUCUCUUGGUCGGCGAAACAGCACCCGACUGUAUCUUGUUCUUCGACGGAGGCAGAGUAUCGCACAAUGUCUUAUGCCGCAGAGGAAAUGAAGUGGAUCUCCUGUUUAUUUGGAGAAAUGGGUUUGUCACAACAUGUCACGCCGGAACUAUAUUGUGACAAUCUAUCUGCGUGUUAUCUCACGGCGAAUCCAGUCUUUCACAACAUAACCGAACACUUUGAUAAGACUUCCAUUAUGUUCGAGAAAGAGUAGCAUUGGGAGCCUUGAUCGUGAAACAAGUUCUCGCAUCAGCUCAAAUAGCUGACAUCUUCACGAAGCGCUUGUCUCGCCGACCGUUCUUUGAUCUCCGUUUCAAACUUGGUGUCGAGCUUCCUCCCGCCACAAGUUUGCGGGGGUGUAUUGAGGAACCAAAGCCCAUUAAGACAGAAGCCUUGAUCUUAGAGUCUAAAGCCCAUAAAAUAGAUGAUACAAGCCCAAAUCAAGUCAUCUUGUCGUCAUCGACGGUUCUGUCUAACGGGAAGAAGAUAGAGCCGACAGUCAGUCAAUGUACGGCAAAGCAAAGGAAUCAAAUCCAGCUGGGUAACCGAUUUGAUGCUCUAGGACCGCGAGCUGUGACGUGUUACUAGCUCACUCAUGCACUGACAUUUUAGGGCUUUCGUCGCUUUCCUAUUUAAGGUUGUAACCCUCGACUGUAAAUCUUAUGUUGGAAUAAUACUGAAAGUUUUCCUCUUCAAUCUCUGUUUGUUACAAUAACUUCAAUGGAGACGAAGCUCUAUGAUUCCUAAUAUCUUCUGGGUUGACGGUAACAGUUUCUUGAUUUUUAUGUAACCUGAGAAUAUCAAAUUAUGGGUUGGAAUUGCGGUUUCUCGAUGCGUGCAUGCGUGGGCUAAGUAUCUGCUAUGAUUUGUUCGGUAGCAAACCUUAUGUUCCAUUGCCGAGUAUUCUCUAUACGUGCAAAUCCCUCAUGACUUUGGAACUUGAAGGACAGACUAUUCUUGUGGAUGUGCCUCAAACCGUUUUGUCUCCCUUACUUGAAGACCUUGCAACUUCGAUCUGUUAAAAUACUUUAAUUGAAGACUCCCUCCGACUGCUUCUGUCCCCAUUGUCCUGUUCUUGACGAUCUCUGUUUAUUGAGGGACAUGGAGACAUCGAUGACAAUAUGAGGGCAAUAGUUUUUAAAAUCCCGACUUUGCAGCGUUUGACCUAGCAGAUCUGUGAUCCUCCUUCUACGAAGCAUGUGAUCCUCCUUCUACGAAGCCCCUUCUAUAAAGUACUUCAAAAUCGAAGAUGAAGAAGAUGAUUCAUCUGUCAAACACCUUUCCUUACGUCAAUUAUUUAACGGUGUAGAUGAGUCUAUGUUUACUGUUGGCAUUGUCUUCAACCAGCUUGAACAUUUUAAGGUGUGUAUACACAGCGAAAACUGCUCCACUUUACUUCUCUGGUUGCUCAGAUAUUCUCCUAAACUGACAGUCCUUAAUCUUUACGUCGACGUUGAUAAUCAAGACUUUUAUGGUUAUUACCGUUUGAUUGGAAGAACAGCUCUGUUCCUGAAUGUUUGCAGAUUACUCUCGAAACUUUCCUGAGUUUUUUCUUCAAAAAUGCUUGUUGCUUGAAGUGUACAUCAAUCACUGAUCGUGUUACACAAUUAGGUAACAGAGACCGAAGGGAAUCACAUAUAUACCGAAUAGCACUGAAAGAAUGGAGCGGUCUGGUGACCUAAAUGGCAGUGUCAUUUGUAAAAUGAAAUGCAGUUUGUUCUCAUUGGUUGCGACUACUUGUUUAUAGCGUAAGGUGUUUAACAGAAUUUCUGAAUGAACUUUGAAGUAAGGUUUGUGUUUUCAUUCAAGUUUUAACUUGGGUUCUAGUUUAUAAAGUUACAUUCUAAGCAGGGUUUGUGGUCAGUCAAGUUUUAAACUUGUGUUCUAGUGUAAAAAGAUUAAAAGCUAGAGUUUGUUUUGGGUUUGUUUUGUUUUCCAAAAGUUUAGGUAGUUAAAUGAGUGCGGAAGUUUCUUUUCAACACAACUUGGUAUCUUCUUGUUUAAUCUGAGUUCUGCACGUAUUGGAAAUAGGCACGAGUUCGAUGA